rnacentral:lncRNA from 1 species
AACAAAUGUCACAUCUUUACUAUAUAAUAGGAAUUCUAUACAAAAUAAAUAAAUAAUUACAUCAUAAGGAGACAACGAUCCAGCAACCCAAAGUUGACUGGGAGACGACGACCUAGACCUCUCACGAACACAUCACAACAUCCUCCAUGCGCCUCAUCCUGCGGUACCUGUUCUUGACCUGUGGGGGUGGGUGUGAGACAACAAGAGUGAGCUCACAUACGUUCAUCACUCAACAAGUUGUGGGGAAUAAUGUGCAUGAACUCGCUAAAGGUGGGAGCUCAUGUGAAGUGUAAGGCUUACCCAAAGAGAAUGGUUAGAGCUGAGCAUUACUUUUAAAGUUGGUCAAAAUUUUAUUAGCAAUUACUAAGUAUAAGCAAAUACCAACCCAAUUAAGUAGUAGAACAAAAGUGAUAACAACACCCGCAAUGCAAUGCAUAUGACAAAUUGAAUUUAGUUCCAUAAAUUAAUCAUGUGAGGGUCCGAGCUGCUCAUGACCGUGAGCACGGCUGGUAUAACAGUUUUACACUCUGCAGAGGUUGCGCAUCUUUACCCACAAGUCAUGUUACCUAUUUGCCAUGGGGUUGAUCGGACCCAAGGUUUACAAAACCGGUAAAAACCGGCGGUAAACCGGUCGGUUUACUGAAACCGCCGGGGUGCGAUUUCGGUUAACCACCGGUUUUUUCAAAUUCGUUCUAAAUUCAAAAAAAUUGAAAAAUUCAUAAAAACCGAAAAUCGCCGAUAAACCGUUUUUUGGACCGGUAAACCGUUAUUUUAGACUGGUAAACCGCCAUUUUUUGCCGGAAAACCGGAUUUAAUGCCGCAAUUAAGUAUUUAGUGAUCAAUUUAGGUAUAUAUUAGUCUUGUUUAAUGUUAUAUGCUAUAUGUGAAGAUGUUAUAUGCUAUAUAUGAAGAUGAAACCCAUAGCUCAAGUUAAGUUUAGACAUUUAGUGGUCAAUUUUGGUUUCAUUUCCUGUCUAAGAUGGAUUCCAUGGAUCAAGUAGCUUCAGUUCUUCUAAUAAGUAUUCGUCUGUACAAAACUCAAUCUUGAACCCUUAGCUCCAGUUCUUCUGUAUGUGUUCCUAAGAUUUGCUGAGCAUGAGAAAAGUUCAACACUUGGUGAGGUGCAUAUGCAAUACACAAACACCAAACACACAUACCGAUAUGUUUUUUUUUGCUUUGUGGAUAAGUAUUUGUUUGUCGUUCUUGUUUUCUCGAUAAUGUAUCUAAUAUCUUUUAUAUAGACUUAUCACUAUCACUAUGACGGAUUGGAACAAUAUCACGAUACUUCCAACAUGCCUAAGUACUAUCAUUAUGACUCGAGCGAAAUAAGUCGAUCUAUGUGUCGUUGCCUCGUUGGAGAGUUAUAAAAGAACUUGUAUUUGAGUAUUGCGAAGUUCACUGGUUGUUUGUUACAUGAGAACUGGAGUUUAUGGUUGCAUAUGUAUGUUGUAUGCUAUUUUGGUGAACACAUGUCGUGUAGAUCAAUUAAUAUUUACAGUGCAAUGUGAAUUGAGCAAACUACAAAUAAAUCUUGUCAAAAAAUCAUUUUUCUGUAAAAAGCAGCAAAAACCGGUUUGUUUCGCGGUUAACCGACGGUUUAGAGCGGUUUCUCGCCGGUUUUUCACCGGUUUUCCACCGGUAAACCGAUUCAAAUUCAAAUUGAUUUCAAUUGCCAAACCGGUCGGUUUUUACCGGUUUCCACCGGUUUACCGACGGUAAACCGUUACCGGUGGGUAGCGGUUUUUGUAGACUAAACGGUUUUGUAACCCGUGAUCGGACCCCAUACACCUCUUCCAAGGAAGCGAGACAGGGUACCACUACGAGGCCUUUACAAAGUUCCACUAGCUUCAGAAAACUCGCUAUAGUUUCUAGGAAGCUCCAAUGCAGGGAUCCCUCGCCUGACCGCCAUCGCAACAAAAUCAACCCAAGAAUCUCCCUACACUGACCACUCCCCUACUGCCCUUGCGCCUUUCGGGUAAGGUAAUCCUCCACUAGCUUUCCUAAUUAGUCAGCCAAGGGCGUCCCAUACCACCCUUGUGGUAGCACUGUUUUCCUGGGUGGUCGCUCCAUGUUCCAAUUAACAUAAUGAUCUUUUCAUGAACAGUAAAUAACAAACUGAUAAUAAAAAGUAUGAUCAUGAAUAAAGUGUAUCUCUAUACCCAAAACCACAUAAAGUAAUAGCAGGUACUACCCAAAAAUUCAGUGGUAAACAAGGUAUAAAGAUAGUCAAACUAGAAUAACAUAUUGGGUCCCAUCAAAAUUAACCUAUGCAGAUCAUUAUGAUUAAUAAGAACAUGAUUCGGUAAUAAGAACAUGAUUCAGAUGACUCGUAACGUCGCACUAGUCGUAGCAAUACAAACAAACAGUGUAUAGACAAAUGUAACAUCACACCAAACAUAAGAACAAACUACUUAAGAAUAUUCUACGCGACGCUACGAGAUCGUGGGAUCGAAAACCACCAAGAUCGAAGUUAUGGUUACAGAGUUAUGAUUUAUGGAAGAUCUAUGUGAUUUAAAUAUUAAACUAUAUUAUAAAUUGAUUAGUGUAUAUCAUAUGAGAGAAUAUUCUAAAAAUAAUUAACUCAACCUUAAUCUUAAUUAUAACUUGACUAGAGAUAUAUUUUGUCACACUAUAAUUAUGGAUAUAUUAACUUUGUUUAGAAGGUUUAAUCUACUAAGCAUGUGCUAAGCAAAUUAGUUACCUAUUUUUGAAGGUAUGCUAUAUGAUCAAAUAAUGUUACUAGAGUGUAGAAAACAUUUUUACGAAGAUUAUGCAAUUUGAACGGACUAAAACAGGGUUAAUACACAAAAGCUAUGGCUAUGAGUUUUAGGGUAUUUUAAGGUUUAUUUUGCAAUAAAAGCGAAUUCCACGGCCCCAAUUACAAAUACCAGGGAGCUCGAUGUAAAGAUUCCUAACAGAUGAGGAUGGCGGGUUAAUUGAGGAGGAACGCAGGGUCUCUUAUGCAAGAUCUUCAGCCAAAGGGGUAUGGGCGAAUGGUGGCUGCACGAUCAGAGAUCAAGGGCCCAGAUCGACUUAACGAAUCGUUUUCCCUUUAUCUAAUCACUACCCUUCAUCAGAGAAUCGACGGCUAGAGGCCCAUCGCGCGGAAGUGGUGUGCUGGAUGAAAUCAGAGCCGAUGACCAUGAGAUCAACAGAUCAGAUUUAAUUCAUGAAUGGGUAUUCACUUGCCUAAUCAUAAUCGUUUGUUCAAAGAUCUACGGUCGACCGCGUUCUCCCCAAACGCCACGCCACGCCACUACACAGACACGCGCGACGGCGCCGCCCUUAGCGUAUGGUGGAGGAUCGCCGACGCAGAUUGCACCAGCCAUCCCAGUGCACAAGGGUGAUCGAACUAGGUGAGGGACGAAGAGGUGAACAUGGCGAAUACAGGAGUGGGGGUCUCACAGUUUAUGGAGGCGAACAAAGGUGCUGGUCACUACCCGAGGUAGAACCACGACGACGGCGAGGAAUCUUCAGCCCUCUGGUGGUGACUUCCGCCCAACGAGGUGUCCAACACGUCUGGCAAAACCCACCAGCGCUCCCGAGCUGACCGCCAGGACCGGGAAGUCGACCGUGGGGCAGGUCUAUGGCGGCGGCGCGAGCUGGCUAUCCCAGCACGACGGCGAACCUUGGUCGGCUGAAGAUGGAGCGAGGGCAACACUUCGACUGGUGCUUAAAUAGGGGCAAGCUACGAGGAUCUCGGUCGGGGAGGUUGGAGGUCAGGUCGCAGACGCAGUUGGCCGAACCUGCAAGAUCUCCGUGCGGAUCUU